UACGAAGGGGGCUAGCGUUGCUCGGAAUCACUGGGCGUAAAGCGCACGUAGGCGGCUUUUUAAGUCAGGGGUGAAAUCCUGGAGCUCAACUCUGGAACUGCCUUUGAUACUGUCGAUCUGGAGUAUGGAAGAGGUAAGUGGAAUUCCGAGUGUAGAGGUGAAAUUCGUAGAUAUUCGGAGGAACACCAGUGGCGAAGGCGGCUUACUGGUCCAUUACUGACGCUGAGGUGCGAAAGCGUGGGGAGCAAACAGG
rnacentral:rRNA from 1 species